CACUGAAUUUGGUCAAAGAUUAUUCAGGAUCCGGCAGGGAAAUGGCUCGUUCUUUUUUCUGCAUGGCUACCACAGGGGCUGGAAGUGCGGGGGGAGAGCCUUGCCAGGUCCCUUGCUGGACAAAGGAUGUUUGCAUUGUAAAGGGCAACUAGACAGAACUGGAAUAACAGGGCGAGCCCUUUAGCACCAGUGCCUCUGUAACUGUAAAACGGGAAGAAGGCUCCUGCCCUUUCGCUGACAACCACAAAGCGGCUUUAGAAUUGCGAGUUUGACUGCAGUCAGGUGCCUGCGUUUCAGCAAGACUUGAACAAACAUCACCUGCUGUACUGGGCAAACACAGCUUCCCAGCACCGGCACGAGAGGCAUAAAAGAACUAUUUGAACAUGACAAACAUUUAAUUUGCCAGAUGGCUCCUCCUCCUUCCCAGAUCUAAGUGAGAAACCUUGGAACCCCAAGACUUCUGCUUGAAAAUGUAAACUUUUGCUGAAGAGAAUGCUGUAUUUGCAACUGGGAAUAAAGCGGGUCACAGUGGCAACACUCAGUAGCAGUAUACACAGCUCUGUUUCCAGACCUUCCUGUAGCUGACCACGUCACCUGAUUCUGCGCAGUAAGACCUAAGCGGAAGUCUUCUUGGGACUCAGAUGAACUCUGGGAAGUUUUUGCUCCCUUGUUAAAAGGAGACUGAAGCAGACUGAAAGGCCACCCUGUCGUGGCUUUUUCCUUUUCCCAUCUGCCUCCCUUGUUGAAUGCAGAAGUGAUGCUGGGAACGUGGAAAGUGAGGGAAAGACUGAGCAAACCCCAGCAGCCCGGGCACAGCCAUGACAGGGUGGAGCUCUUUGAUCUGAACAUUGAAAAUGCCUCACUCCAAACUUCCUGUUCUGUGAUAAAAUAAGGGUUUUUGAUCAGUUGCAGCUGAAUACUACUCAGGGAUGUAAUGUACAUGAAAGGACACAAGAGCUGAGUCCCCUACGGUAAACUCUGGACUUUGGGUGAUCAUGACGUAUCAGUGUAGGCUCAUACUUGGUCAUAACAUGUGACUCUGAGGACUGAUGCUGAUGAUGGGGGAGGCUGUACUUUUGUGAGGGGCAGGUUGUGAGUGGAAAUCUCUGUACCUUCCUCUCAAUUUUGUCAUGGAAACUAAAACUGCCUUAAAGCAUUAAAGUCGUCAAAAAGAAGGAAACAAAAGCUGUGUUUGUAGGAGUUUGAUCAUUCCGCUAAUGCCACCUUCUCUGUGAAAACACAGAGACUAUGAAUUCUGAGGCCUGGCUUUCCUUACGAAAGUACAAUGGCCUCUGUGAU